AGUACACGAAGGUUUCGGCUGGAGUGAUAAUCCUCUGAAGAUUGUUCCAAGAAAUAGCGAGAGAAUCAGCCCGUACCGUAAACCGACACAGGUGGUCGAGGAGAGUAUCCUAAGGCGCUCGAGCGAUUCAUGGUUAAGGAAUUAGGCAAAAUAGCCCCGUAACUUCGGGAGAAGGGGCGCUGGUAGCAAUAUCAGCCUCAGUAAAAAGGCCCAGGCGACUGUUAUCAAAAACACAGGACUCUGCAAAAUAGAAAUAUGACGUAUAGGGUCUGACACCUGCCCGGUGCUGGAAGGUUAAGGAAGGGGGUUAGCUUCGGCGAAGCUCUUAACUGAAGCCCCAGUAAACGGCGGCCGUAACGAUAACGGUCCUAAGGUAGCGAAAUUCCUUGUCGGGUAAGUUCCGACCUGCACGAAUGGCGUAACGAUCUGGGCACUGUCUCAACCAUGAUCUCGGUGAAAUUGUAGUAUCGGUGAAGAUGCCGGUUAAUCGCAACGGGACGAAAAGACCCUGUGAACCUUUACUAUAGCUUUGUAUUGACUUCGGGUAAAUAAUGUGUAGGAUAGGUGGGAGACUAUGAAGCUGCGUCGCUAGGCGUGGUGGAGUCAUUGUUGAAAUACCACCCUUUAUUUACUUGGAGCCUAACUUCCGUAAGGAAGGACAGUGCAUGGUGGGUAGUUUGACUGGGGUGGUCGCCUCCAAAAGAGUAACGGAGGCUUUCAAAGGUACCCUCAGCACGCUUGGUAACCGUGCGUAGAGUGUAAUGGCAUAAGGGUGCUUGACUGUGAGGCCAACAAGCCGAGCAGGUGCGAAAGCAGGACAUAGUGAUCCGGUGGUUCCGUAUGGAAGGGCCAUCGCUCAAAGGAUAAAAGGUACUCCGGGGAUAACAGGCUAGUCUCCCCCAAGAGCUCACAUCGACGGGGAGGUUCGGCAUCUCGAUGUCGGCUCGUCACAUCCUGGGGCUGGAGAAGGUCCCAAGGGUUGGGCUGUUCGCCCAUUAAAGUGGCACGCGAGCUGGGUUCAGAACGUCGUGAGACAGUUCGGUCUCUAUCUGUUGUGAUCGUUAGAAGUUUGAGCGGAGUUGACUCUAGUACGAGAGGACCGUGUUGAACAAACCUCUGGUGUAUCAGUUGUGCCGCCAGGUGCACCGCUGAGUAGCUACGUUUGGAAGAGAUAAGCGCUGAAAGCAUAUAAGCGCGAAACUCGCCGCAAGAUUAGACUUCUUUAAAGGGUCGUUGUAGACUACAACGUUGAUAGGCUAUAGAUGUAAAGGCAGUGAUGUCAUAGUCGAGUAGUACUAAUUACCC
rnacentral:rRNA from 1 species